GGUAUUUUGAUCAAAGUUUUACGAUAAUUUUUGAAUUUAACAUCUUAGAUUUCGAAAGGUGUUCUUCAACAGAUGUCUUUUCUUUUGUUUUGGGUUUUCUUUUGCAUAAGCUGAGGGCAGCCGUCUCGAGAUAUAUAUUCGAUAUAUCUCGACACGUGUUUUUGUGGAGGGGGAGUAUUGUGACGGUGUAAAGCGCCAUCUGUUGGUAUGAUGACAAAAUCCGUACAAAACGUGCUCAUAAUAAGGUGCGAAGAAUUGAUUAUAUUAUGGGUCGCUAGUGAAUGGGCGUCUUAACCAUAGAUGGCGACUGGAGCGUGUCUCUUUGUGUGAGAUUGCGUUUCGUUUCAGGGUCGGAGUGUGCAAAUUGGCAAUUUUCGGGUAAAACAAACGUCGUGGGGGUUCAAAAACAUAUAAUAAGGCACUAGAAUGGUGUUGGCAAGCUUAUGAUUUGUGAAUACAAAAAUAAAAGGGAUAAAGAUUUUCUAUUGUUAUAGUUAAGAUUUGUAUGAACGAACAAAUUUUUUGAUGCGUCGAACGAAAACGUGUGAGCAGAGUUCUCGCCGGGGACACGGUUUCGGUCAUUUUCUGGAAACAGCCACCAUGAGCUGAACAAAAAUAUCCGGGGGGAAGGAUUUAAUGUAGCAGGUCUGCUGAGACCAAAAACCUUAACUAAAAUAUUAUGUUCAGCUCAUUGAAAAUAUAAGUUUAUUAAGUCUUGGGAAAAUCACAGGAGUCUUCCUUCCCGUUGGCAAUGAAUUCGUAUAUUUAAUAUUUGGGGGAAUAAUGGGCUAGAGAGAGUUGAUAUUAUCAGUGGGAAAAAUAAAAAUAGGAAAAAUAAGAAAGAAAGAUAUAACAAUGAGUUUCGAGAACCUUUGAGAAUGUAAAAGGGGUAAUUUAUGAGUUUUUACGAGUUUCGAAGAGGUUGUACGAAUCCGUCGUGACGUCGCGGGAUUCGUGGAAGGCUUUAAGAAGAUAAUCACUUGCCGGUUACAACAUCCGGGAACGUCGCAAGCUGAAGGAGACGGAGUAG
rnacentral:lncRNA from 1 species